rnacentral:rRNA from 1 species
AGGUUAAACACGUGGGGGUAACCUGCCCAUAAGACUGGGAUAACUCCGGGAAACCGGGGCUAAUACCGGAUAACAUUUUGAACCGCAUGGUUCGAAAUUGAAAGGCGGCUUCGGCUGUCACUUAUGGAUGGACCCGCGUCGCAUUAGCUAGUUGGUGAGGUAACGGCUCACCAAGGCAACGAUGCGUAGCCGACCUGAGAGGGUGAUCGGCCACACUGGGACUGAGACACGGCCCAGACUCCUACGGGAGGCAGCAGUAGGGAAUCUUCCGCAAUGGACGAAAGUCUGACGGAGCAACGCCGCGUGAGUGAUGAAGGCUUUCGGGUCGUAAAACUCUGUUGUUAGGGAAGAACAAGUGCUAGUUGAAUAAGCUGGCACCUUGACGGUACCUAACCAGAAAGCCACGGCUAACUAUGUGCCAGCAGCCGCGGUAAU